AAAAGCUUAUGACUCAGCUUGACUUCUGAAAGCCUGCCAGUUUUACAGCAAACGGAAUUUUCUUCUUCCUUGUUCCUCCGCUUCCAUAGUCCCUUUCAAUUACCACUUUAGGAAGCAGUCUCUCUGCCGCUGCUUUCCCAGAUGCAGGCUUCUUCUAUUGCUGGAUCCUCAGUGUUGUUUCCGCUUCUGUCGGGGAGCUGGGUAGUGGUGUCUCCACCACCCACCUCAGCAGCUCAAUUGCAGUUGGAAACCUGAUUUGCGCUGCCCCAGGACUCCCUGACUGUGCAUUUGGUAGACCAACAAACAAUGGUAAAUGGACUUUUGAGGCCACGUGGUCCCAGGCUCCUGCGUCUAGACAGGCGAGGCUCCAAAGCCUGCUGACGGAGCGCAGUACCCUCAGGGCCUGCUAUCCCAUCACCUUCCCAGAGAAAGUUUCCCUAGAAAUAAAACUGUUCGGCUUCGUCCUCCCCACUUGCCUCUUCUAAGCACCCUCUAAAUCAGACCUGAGGCUCCAUCGGGAGUCAUAGCCUCUCUCUCGCAGCUGGUCUGAGUUUUGUCGUCUGGGAGACUGGGCUUAGAACAGCUUGAAGUUAGUACAGAGGCGAAUGGAGCUUUAAAUCUCCACCACUUAACAGCUUCUCGGCAGCCUCAGAGGAGGGAUGGCUAAAAUGCAAUUGGAGGAAGACAGCAUGGAGGAAACGCUGGAAGACAGAUGGAGCCAUGCCCGGUCCCCCCACUUAAAAGAGCACAGACUCCCCGCCUACCAGCCCGGCUCUAUCCCGGUGGAAUCUGCCUCCCGUGGACUGUGUGUGCUGGCUGGAGAAAAAUUAAAAAGGAAGUAAUUUAAUGUA